rnacentral:pre_miRNA from 1 species
GGCCGUUCAAUGACGCGCGCUAAGCAGGAACCGGGACUCUUCGUAUACGUAAGACAGCAGUCAGGUACCUGAAGUAGCGCGCGUUAUUCGGUCCC